rnacentral:tRNA from 1 species
UUAAUUGAAACCAAAGAAGAGGUAAAUCACUGUUAAUGAUUAAAUUGAGAAUCAUCUCCAAUUAAA